UACGAAGGGGGCUAGCGUUGCUCGGAAUCACUGGGCGUAAAGGGUGCGUAGGCGGAUCUUUAAGUCAGGGGUGAAAUCCUGGAGCUCAACUCCAGAACUGCCUUUGAUACUGAAGAUCUUGAGUCCGGGAGAGGUGAGUGGAACUGCGAGUGUAGAGGUGAAAUUCGUAGAUAUUCGCAAGAACACCAGUGGCGAAGGCGGCUCACUGGCCCGGUACUGACGCUGAGGCACGAAAGCGUGGGGAGCAAACAGGAUUAGAUAC
rnacentral:rRNA from 1 species